GCCAGGUGCAGUGGUGGGUGCCUGUAAUCCCAGCUACUAGGGAGGCUGAGGCAGGAGAAUUGCUUGAACCCAGGAGGUUGAGGUUGCAGUGAACCAAGAUCAUGCCACUGCACUCUAGCCUGGGCAACAGAGCAAGACUCUGUCUCAA
ensembl:misc_RNA Metazoa_SRP Metazoan signal recognition particle RNA